rnacentral:lncRNA from 1 species
GCAGAGACGGCUCAGAGGGUUGGCAGGCAGCGAGGCCCCCCCCGCGGCCUGGGGACCGGGAGAGAGACCGGGAGACCGAGAGACACCGAGCGAAUGCGGCGCAUGGGAGAAACUAUCCGCCGAAGCCGGGAGAGGGGGGGAAGCGCGAGACUGAGCUGCUCACGCGCCGUGACUCCGCCCUUCUUUUCACUCUCUCCUCCCUGCCUCUCCCAGUUUUGGAUGACAUAUUUGGAAGUCUUGCUGGGAUUUCAAAGUCUGCAGGACUUUGUGUAGACUGCAGGAAUUUGUUGUGUUUCAAUCCAGAUUCAAUUCAGCCAUCUUGGAGGACUCAUUCUAAACCCCUGGAGCCCAGCCAUCCCAUGUCCCAGUGGUUUCACACUAUAGCUAGAAUCUGGAGAUGGAGUCUACAGAAGACACUGGUGCAAGCACACCAUGCACCAGAUGGGAAGGACCUCAACUCUUAGAAGACUCCAAAUGUGGCUAAGUAUAUUCCUUGUUCUCCCUUACAUCAUCCAUUACAUGUUCCUCAGUACAUGUUCCUGGGACUUGGCCCUGCUGUUUUCUUUUUGCAUGGUCUUCUCUCAGAGAAAUCUCUUGGUACCCACCCAAAGCAAGAUCCCUACUUAAAGACUGGCAAAUACUUCAAUCCAAGAACUAGAAACAUCCGAAAGAAAAACAACUAGUUCUCACAUCUAACUAGAGUAGGAAAGUUUCAAAUCAGUUAUGUUUUAUUUUGUUACAAGAACUAAUAAAACUUAAUCUCUAUUAAUUGGGAGAUCCA